rnacentral:rRNA from 1 species
AACGAACGCUGGCGGCAUGCCUAACACAUGCAAGUCGAACGCCCCGCAAGGGGAGUGGCGAACGGGUGAGUAACGCGUGGGAACCUACCCAGCAGUUGGGGAUAACCGCGGGAAACUGCGGCUAAUACCGAAUACGUCCUAAGGGAGAAAGAUUUAUCGCUGUUGGAGGGGCCCGCGUCGGAUUAGCUAGUUGGUGAGGUAACGGCUCACCAAGGCGACGAUCCGUAGCUGGUCUGAGAGGAUGAUCAGCCACACUGGGACUUAGACACGGCCCGGACUCCUACGGGAGGCAGCAGUGGGGAAUAUUGGACAAUGGGGGCAACCCUGAUCCAGCAAUGCCGCGUGAGUGAUGAAGGCCUUAGGGUUGUAAAGCUCUUUUACCGGGGACGAUGAUGACGGUACCCGGAGAAUAAGCCCCGGCUAACUUCGUGCCAGCAGCCGCCGUAAUAC